rnacentral:rRNA from 1 species
AUGGACGUAGAUGCUGUGCCAGUUAGGAAGGCUUGUACUGAAAUGCUGAAACGUGCGACUCGCCAACAACGAUAUAGGCUCAAGAAAGAGUUUUUUGACCCUCACCCACUCCAUUUGGUGACGAGAACUUCUCCUAUCCCCUCGAUGACUGAUGAGCAGUGGAAUGAGCUGGUGGAAAGCUGGAAGGAUCCCAAAAAGAUGGGGAUAUGUGAAAUUAACAAAAAUAAUCGAGCUCAAGUUAAGUUUCACCAAACUACUGGCACGCGCAGCUAUCCUGUGCACUGUGAUAAUCUGGGCGACAAAUACAAAGAUAAAGAACCCACUUCAUUGGAUUUGUUCAAGGAGUGUCACUACAGCAAGAAAAAGAAAAGCUACACUGAUGUCGUGCAAGCUGCAAUUAGUGAGAUGGAAAACAAGGCCUCUCAACCUACAGAAGAUGGUUAG